rnacentral:rRNA from 1 species
UGACGUAGGGGUGCGAGCGUUGUCCGGAAUUACUGGGACGUAAAGCGUGCGCAGGCGGUUCGUUGUGUCGGCGGUGAAAGCCCCGGGCUCAAGCCUCGGGAACUGGCAAUGGAUACUGCGAGGCUAGAGUGCGGUAGAGGGUAGUGGAAUUCCCGGUGUAGCGGUGAAAUGCGCAGAUAUCGGGAAGAACACCCGUGGCGAAGGCGGCUCUCUGGGAGCGGUACUGACGCUGAGACGCGAAAGCGUGGGGAGCGAACAGG